rnacentral:rRNA from 1 species
UAAGCAUUAUACCGCGAAACUGCGAAUGGCUCAUUAUAUAAGUUAUCGUUUAUUUGAUAGUACCUUACUACUUGGAUAACCGUGGUAAUUCUAGAGCUAAUACAUGCUAAAAAUCCCGACUUCGGAAGGGAUGUAUUUAUUAGAUUAAAAACCAAUGCCCUUCGGGGCUCACUGGUGAUUCAUGAUAACUCCUCGAAUCGCAUGGCCUUGUGCCGGCGAUGGUUCAUUCAAAUUUCUUCCCUAUCAACUUUCGAUGUUUGGGUAUUGGCCAAACAUGGUUGCAACGGGUAACGGAGGGUUAGGGCUCGACCCCGGAGAAGGAGCCUGAGAAACGGCUACUACAUCCAAGGAAGGCAGCAGGCGCGCAAAUUACCCAAUCCCGACACGGGGAGGUAGUGACAAUAAAUACUGAUACAGGGCUCUUUUGGGUCUUGUAAUUGGAAUGAGUACAAUUUAAAUCCCUUAACGAGGAACAAUUGGAGGGCAAGUCUGGUGCCAGCAGCCGCGGUAAUUCCAGCUCCAAUAGCGUAUAUUAAAGUUGUUGUGGUUAAAAAGCUCGUAGUUGAACCUUGGGCCUGGCCGUCCGGUCCGCCUCACCGCGUGUACUGGCUCGGCCGGGCCUUUCCCUCUGUGGAACCCCAUGCCCUUCACUGGGCGUGGCGGGGAAACAGGACUUUUACUGUGAAAAAAUUAGAGUGCUCCAGGCAGGCCUAUGCUCGAAUACAUUAGCAUGGAAUAAUAGAAUAGGACGUGUGGUUCUAUUUUGUUGGUUUCUAGGACCGCCGUAAUGAUUAAUAGGGACAGUCGGGGGCAUCAGUAUUCAAUUGUCAGAGGUGAAAUUCUUGGAUUUAUUGAAGACUAACUACUGCGAAAGCAUUUGCCAAGGAUGUUUUCAUUAAUCAGGAACGAAAGUUAGGGGAUCGAAGACGAUCAGAUACCGUCGUAGUCUUAACCAUAAACUAUGCCGACUAGGGAUCGGACGGUGUUAUUUUUUGACCCGUUCGGCACCUUACGAGAAAUCAAAGUGCUUGGGCUC